UUGUCUCAAAGAUUAAGCCAUGCAUGUCUAAGUAUAAGCAACUUGUACUGUGAAACUGCGAAUGGCUCAUUAAAUCAGUUAUCGUUUAUUUGAUAGUACCUUACUACAUGGAUACCUGUGGUAAUUCUAGAGCUAAUACAUGCUAAAAACCCCGACUUCAGGAAGGGGUGUAUUUAUUAGAUAAAAAACCAACGCCCUUCGGGGCUCCUUGGUGAAUCAUAAUAACUUAACGAAUCGCAUGGCCUUGCGCCGGCGAUGGUUCAUUCAAAUUUCUUCCCUAUCAACUUUCGAUGUUUGGGUCUUGUCCAAACAUGGUGGCAACGGGUAACGGAGGGUUAGGGCUCGACCCCGGAGAAGGAGCCUGAGAAACGGCUACUACAUCCAAGGAAGGCAGCAGGCGCGCAAAUUACCCAAUCCCGACACGGGGAGGUAGUGACAAUAAAUACUGAUACAGGGCUCUUUUGGGUCUUGUAAUCGGAAUGAGUACAAUUUAAAUCCCUUAACGAGGAACAAUUGGAGG
rnacentral:rRNA from 1 species